CACCCUUGCACCCAGUUCAACGGUGCGCGGCGUUGUGGGAUCCAGCGGAGGUCGUGAUGGCGGAAGGCAGUCCGAAGCUAGCCAUGGUACCCCCGAUGCUAUGAGGUGACACAACCCACUAUGACGUUGUUGCAAACUCUGCUGCAUCUGGGGUACUUGCUUCUGAUAUGGCAUAGUCGCAUGGAUGAUGGAGUUGGCUGCGCAGAAAUUGGGCUAGAUGCACGAAUACGACCAAUGUGGCGAUGGCCAUUCCUCGGAUGUCUUCGACGAAAGCGGCGAGCGGGUGAAUAGGAUAUGCAUAUGGUGGAGCUGACUAAAAUGUCUUCCUCCAUAUCAGAGAGUCUGUUGCAACUUCUCCAAUUGGUAGUGAAUCGACAGAAGGAGCAUCAACAGAAGGAGCUUGAACGAACUGUUGAUCGAGAGGAAAUAUCCUGUUGGCUGAGCUCCGUCUCCUCCAUCCGGAAGAUCCCGCCGUGCUCCUCGAGCCAGAGCUGCUGGGCCAACAGACCCGCCCAGAUCUCGCUAGGAAAACGGUCUGAAGAUGGCUCUAGGGUAAUUCAGGUUUUGAUGAUACCGCUCUAUACCGAAGACUAUUUGGAUUUUGAUGUAUCCAAGCAAUACUCCUUGCUGUCCUCCUCUCAGUUAUUCAGGUAAU